UACGUAGGGGGCAAGCGUUGUCCCGGAUUUAUUGGGCGUAAAGAGCGUGUAGGCGGCCAGGUAGGUGGGUUGUGAAAACUGGAGGCUCAACCCUUCAGACGUCGACCCCAAACCCCCCCUGGCUAGAGUCCGGAAGAGGAGAGUGGAAUUCCUGGUGUAGCGGUGAAAUGCGCAGAUAUCAGGAAGAACACCCGUGGCGAAGGCGGCUCUCUGGGACGGGUACUGACGCUGAGACGCGAAAAGCGUGGGGGGAGCGAACAGG
rnacentral:rRNA from 1 species